rnacentral:rRNA from 1 species
UUAGUGGCGAACGGGUGAGUAACACGUGAGUAACCUGCCCUUGACUCUGGGAUAAGCCUGGGAAACUGGGUCUAAUACCGGAUACGACCAUCUGGCGCAUGUCAUGGUGGUGGAAAGCUUUUGUGGUUUUGGAUGGACUCGCGGCCUAUCAGCUUGUUGGUGGGGUAAUGGCCUACCAAGGCGACGACGGGUAGCCGGCCUGAGAGGGUGACCGGCCACACUGGGACUGAGACACGGCCCAG